UUGAGUAACCAGAUGGUAUACCACCAUUUAUGAAAUGGUUACUAUAAAAAGUAAUAACUUCUUUCUCUUCUUUUCUUCCUCUUAGAAUAAAUUUUGAGAUCUUUAAAGAUUUUUAAAUAAGUACUUAACAAAAAUAAAAUAAGGAAAAAUAAAUUUGUAAAAAAGUUACCUUCAUAUUAACCUCAUCUUAAAUAAGAGGGUGUCUUGUACAACAUAUGAUGAAAACGAUUUUUAUUGUGAAAUACCAUUAUAGUUUCAUCCCUAGUUGGCAACUUGGCCCUUUCCUAAAAUGGAUUCAUUGUGGCAUUUUCACAAACACCUAAUAUGCAGUAAAUAGAAUAAAAAUAAUGAAGGUUGAAAUGAUUUGGUUGUUUUUUCUAUUGAUAUAGACAAACCUAUUUCAAAUAGAUAACCUUUUCAUCACCACCUGCAACUUUUCAUAAGAAAAAGGAACAUUUAAAUACUGUAUGGAAAAACGAUCAUAAUUGCCUCAAAAGAUUACCACCACAAACUCCUCUAGCUCCUGAUAAAAAUCAUAACUACAGAAAAUCUAAGCACAAAAAUAAAUAUGAAAGAAAACAAUAUCGAAAUGUAUUUUGAAAGAUGCAAGGAAGAUUUUGAGAAAUAGGUUGAGACCUGUAUUUGGGUUUGGGUGGUGUUGUUCAUCCACCUUACACAUGUACACCAAAAGUGGUUGUGAAAAAAAAAGAAUGUAAGCUAAUGAACAACUUGAACAACUUCAAUGGAAUGAUUAUACGUGGUAUGAUUGGAAGAGAAGAAAUAAAGAAGGAAGAAUCACCUGUAAUCCAACUAACAUACAAUCACCAUGAUUGAAAAUCUUAAACACAACUUGAUUUCAGUGACAGUAAAGUAGAGUAGAAAGUAAGAUCUUACAGGUUUUCCCUUUUCUAAUUCAAUCAAAUAGUUGCUUGAAAGGGGCAUUUGCAUUCUUUACAUCUAUCAAAUCCUACCAUACCACAAGGACUCCUAGACGUUAACAACUUUCAAUCUCCAAUAUUACCCAAAAUGAACUCAUAAGCACAAAAGGAAACACAUGAAUAGAUGAAGCAUACAAUUUAGGGAAAUAGAAGCAGAGAAUACGGUUUUAGGAACCGAUGGAAAUAAGAGGAAGUGGCGACAUAUUAAUCGAUGAAGUUUAGAUAUACAAAAUUCCCUAGUGAAAAAAUAAUUAAAGCUUGACCUCUGAUAUUCAAAAGAACGAGGAUUAGAAAAGGAUGAUCUUUAUAAAUAAGAGAUUCAAAUCAAACACGAAACCAAAAGUGGCAUUUCUUCAAGGGAUAUCAAAGUACAUAGAACUUACUCAAGCCAUGGUUGUAGAGGACCUCCACCGUCAUACUCAGAACUGGUGGUCACGGUGUGUGGUGGUGGCGUUUAGGAGGUUGUGGUCAUGUGGUGGCAGUGAGUAGUGAUAGCUUUGGGGAAAAACAAUGUAAGAGCAUUUGGAAAGGAGAUAAAGAAAACGAAAACCUCCGAUGGAGAUUUCAACGACGGAAUAGUGGAGGUCGGUGGGUGAUCGAUCGAACAAAUCAGGAGGGGAAGAAUGUGAUUUUGGGGUUGUGGUUUUCAAGAGAGGAGGAAUUGUGACAUCCCUAAACUUUUUCGGUUUGUUAUUCGUAUUUUCUGUUAAUGCCUUU
rnacentral:lncRNA from 1 species